GGUACCUGGAAACCUCGGGCCCGGGAGCCAAUUCCUGCCGGGGACUUGGGCCCGGGCGGCCGCGGGAAAGCCAAGGAUACUGCAUUAUAUUUAGUGUUCAUGUCUCCUUAGGCUCCUCUUGGCCAUGAUAUUUCUCAUACUUUCCCGGUUUUUGCUGGCCCCCAUGGUUUUGAGGAAUAACUGAGACAUGUCUAAUAAGAUGAUGCUACGGCCGAUGUCACAAAGAUUGCUGCCUGUGUUCUUCUCUAGGACCAGAAGAGGAAGAGACACCAGGAGUAUGCAUGCACACAGACAAAAGACCAUGCAAGGACACAAAGAAGGCAGCUAUCUGAAAGCCAAGGAGCGAGGUCUUCCCAGAAACUGAUCCUGCCGGGGCUGAUCUUGGAUUUCCGGUCUCCAGAACUGUGAGAAAAUAAUCUUCUGUUGUGUAAGCCACCCUGCCUGUGGUAUUUUGUUAUGGCAGCCUGAGCAGAUGACUACAGCAUCUGUUGGCAUUCUUGUUGUUUUUUUUUUUUAAUUACUGUAAUGUUACAGGGUCACUGCUUGUACCUGUUCUGUCUCACAAGUGUGCGCAGUUAAGA